rnacentral:rRNA from 1 species
GACGAACGCUGGCGGCGUGCUUAACACAUGCAAGUCGAACGAAGUGGCGAACGGGUGUGUAAUACGUGAGUAACCUGCGCUCCUUUUUGGGAUAAGCCUUGGAAACGGGGUCUAAUCCCGAAUAAAGGGGGAUGGGCUCGCGGCCUAUCAGCUUGUUGUGGGGGUGAUGUCCUACCAAGGCGGUGACGGGUAGCCGGCCAUAGAGGGUGACCUGCGACAUGGGGCAUGAGAUACGGCCCAGGCUCCGACGGGAGGCAGUCGUGGGGAAUGUUGGACAAUGGGCGAAAGCCUGAUCCAGCCAUGCCGCGGGUGUGAGGAAGUUCUUCGGUUUGUAAAUCACUUUAAGUUGGGAGGGAGUACCAACAUAAUAAGCACCGGCUAACUUCGUGCCAGCAGCCGCGGUAAUUC